rnacentral:lncRNA from 1 species
UUAAGACAAAGAAGCAUCACCAAAGUUUCUCAAUUUUUGGCUCCUUAUUCCCCUCUUUAUUAUUAUUUUCUUUUUCCUUCGUUGGGUUGGGUGAGGAUCCAUCUAAAGUGGAGGCAAGAAAGAACGAUCAUCAAGGCAAUCUUGGAUCUCUCAGAUCUCUUCUUAUUGGUCACGGAAAAAGAAGUCAUCCAUUUCCAAGAUUUGUUGAGAGAGAGAAAAGGGGGCUUACAAUUGAUAGAUAUACAAUAGGAGUACGAUAGAAGUGAAUCAAUCUUGGAAAUGAAAGAAAGAAAGGCAUGACUCGAACCCUCAUAUCAAGAGAAGAGGUGAAAAUUAUUUUAUCCAGACAGAAUUUCUCAUACUGCAAAUUUUUGGACAUUCAUUAGUUGCCAAAUAUUUGCCCCUUUUCUUCCUGUUUGUUCAAAUAUAUUAUAUAUAGCCUUUUGUGUUAGGACACUACUAUUCCAAUAAAUAUCUGGA